rnacentral:rRNA from 1 species
GAUGAACGCUGGCGGCAUGCUUUACACAUGCAAGUCGAGCGAACGCACGAGCAGCUUGCUUCCCUGAUGUUACCGGCGGACGGGUGAGUCACCCGUGCAUACCCUACCUAUAAGACUGGCUUAACUUCGGGCAAAUGGAGCUCAUAUAGGACGAUAUUUUGAACCGCAUGGUUCUACAGAGCACGCCGGUCUUGCUGUCACUAUUAGAUGGUUCCGCGUUGGAUUAGCUAGUUGGUAAGGUAACGGCUUACCAAGGCAACGAUGCGUAGACGACCUGAGAGGAUGAUCGGCCACACUGGAACUGAGACACGGUCCAGACUCCUACGGGAGGCAGCAGUAGGGAAUUUUCGGCAAUGGGCGAAAGCCUGACGGAGCAACGCCGCGUGAGUGAUGAAGGUCUUCGGAUCGUAAAGCUCUGUUAGUAGGAAAGAACAUAAGUGUAAGAAACUGUGCACAUCUUGACGGUACCUGAAGAGAAAGCCACGGCUAACUACGUG